rnacentral:lncRNA from 1 species
CACAAAUCACAUCAUUGAUCAUUCUUCGUGGCUCGUGGCGAAAGAAGUUUAUUUUUUUGAAAAUUAAUUUUAUAUUUUAACUCAAAAUGACGGCGUUUUUACCGUCCAAUCUUCUGGCAUUAUUUGCUCCAAGGGAUGCUAUUCCAUAUCUACCACCGAUGGAUAAACUUGGUCAUCAGAAAAAGCCAUGGCCUUACGUUGGAGUCUCCAAUCUUCUAGCCAUGUUUGAGG